rnacentral:rRNA from 1 species
AUUGAACGCUGGCGGCAGGCCUAUCACAUGCACGUCGAACGAGUGGCGGACGGGUGAGUAAUGUCUGGGAAACUGCCCGAUGGAGGGGGAUAACUCCUGGAAACGGUAGCUAAUCCCGCAUACCAUCGGAUGUGCCCAGAUGGGAUGAGCUAGUAGGUGGGGUAACGGCUCCCUUGGGCGACGAUCCCUAGCUGGUCUGAGAGGAUGACCAGCCACACUGGAACUGAGACACGGUCCAGACUCCUACGGGAGGCAGCAGUGGGGAAUAUUGCACAAUGGGCGCAAGCCUGAUGCAGCCAUGCCGCGUGUAUGAAGAAGGCCUUCGGGUUGUAAAGUACUUUCAGCGAGGAGGCGUUACUCGCAGAAGAAGCACCGGCUAACUCCGUGCCAGCCGCCGCGGUAAUAC